UUUCCGUAGGUGAACCUGCGGAAGGAUCAUUUCCUAGAGUUUGUAGACUUCGGUCUGCUACCUCUUACCCAUGUCUUUUGAGUACCUUCGUUUCCUCGGCGGGUCCGCCCGCCGAUUGGACAACAUUCAAACCCUUUGCAGUUGCAAUCAGCGUCUGAAAAAACAUAAUAGUUACAACUUUCAACAACGGAUCUCUUGGUUCUG
rnacentral:misc_RNA from 1 species